CCCUAUGGGGGGCAGCAGUGGGGGAUAUUGCACAAUGGGGGGAACCCUGAUGCAGCGACGCCGCGUGGGUGAAGGAGUGCUUCGGCAUGUAAAGCCCUAUCGGCAGGGAAGAAGGAGGACGGUACCUGACUAAGAAGCCCCGGCUAACUACGUGCCAGCAGCCGCGGUAAUACGUAGGGGGCAAGCGUUAUCCGGAUUUACUGGGUGUAAAGGGGGCGCAGACGGCAGCGCAAGCCAGGAGUGAAAGCCCGGGGCCCAACCCCGGGACUGCUCUUGGAACUGCGCGGCUGGAGGGCGGGAGGGGG
rnacentral:rRNA from 1 species